rnacentral:rRNA from 1 species
AGGACAAGAAACCAACCGGGAUUGCCUCAGUAACGGCGAGUGAAGCGGCAGCAGCUCAAAUUUGAAAUCCGACCCCCCCUCGGGGGCCCGAGUUGUAAUUUGGAGAGGGCGCUUCGGGGCGCGCCGCCGGUCCGAGUGCCUUGGAACAGGCCGCCGUGGAGGGUGAGAGCCCCGUACGCGGCCGGCGGACCGUCCCCGCACGAAGCCCCUUCGACGAGUCGAGUUGUUUGGGAAUGCAGCUCUAAGCGGGUGGUAAAUUCCAUCUAAAGCUAAAUACAGGCCGGAGACCGAUAGCGCACAAGUAGAGUGAUCGAAAGAUGAAAAGCACCUUGAAAAGGGGGUCAAAAAGCACGUGAAAUUGCUGAGAGGGAAGCGCUGGCCCCCAGACCUGCCGCGCAGGCGACCCCCUGUGGCCCCGUGCCGCCGGGGAUCAUCGCCCGCGCACAGGCCAGCACGGGUUCGGGCGGCGGGACAAAGCGCCCGGGAAUGUAGCUCCCUCCGGGGAGCCUUAUAGCCCGGGCCGUCAUGCCGCCCGCCCGGACCGAGGACCGCGCUUCGGCGAGGGUGCUGGCGUAAUGGGGGUCAGCGACCCGUCUUGAAACACGGACCAAGGAGUCUAACGUCCCCGCGAGUGUUCGGGCGUCAAACCCCCGGCGCGGAAUGAAAGUGAACGGAGGUGGGACCCCCGCGAGGGGCGCACCAUCGACCGAUCCAGAUGUCUUCGGAUGGAUUUGAGUACGAGCGCGGCCGUUGGGACCCGAAAGAUGGUGAACUAUGCCUGGGUAGGGUGAAGCCAGAGGAAACUCUGGUGGAGGCUCGCAGCGGUUCUGACGUGCAAAUCGAUCGUCAAACCUGGGCAUAGGGGCGAAAGACUAAUCGAACCAUCUAGUAGCUGGUUCCUGUCGA